rnacentral:rRNA from 1 species
ACGGGCCCUGAGAGGGGGAGCCCGGAGAUGGACUCUGAGACACGAGUCCAGGCCCUACGGGGCGCAGCAGGCGCGAAACCUUCGCAAUGCGCGAAAGCGCGACGAGGGGAGCCCGAGUGCCCUUCCUUUUGGGAGGGCUUUUCCGGAGUCUAAAAAAGCUCCGGGAAUAAGGGCUGGGCAAGACGGGUGCCAGCCGCCGCGGUAAUACCCGCAGCUCGAGUGGUGGCCACUAUUAUUGGGCCUAAAACGUCCGUAGCCGGCCUAGUAAAUGCCUGGGUAAAUCGUGAGGCUUAACCUCACGAAUCCUGGGUAGACUGCUAGGCUUGAGACCGGGCGAGGCUGGAGGUACUCCAGGGGUAGGGGUGAAAUCCUGUAAUCCCUGGAGGACGACCAGUGGCGAAAGCGUCCAGCCAGAACGGGUCUGACGGUGAGGGACGAAGCCCUGGGGCGCAAACGGGAUUAGAUACCCCGGUAGUCCAGGGUGUAAACGCUGCUCGCUUGAUGUUAGGUAGGCUUCGGGCCUACCUAGUGUCGGAGAGAAGUCGUUAAGCGAGCUGCCUGGGGAGUACGGCCGCAAGGCUG